GUAGGUGGCAAGCGUUGUCCGGAAUUAUUGGGCGUAAAGCGCGCGCAGGUGGUUCUUUAAGUCUGAUGUGAAAGCCCCCGGCUCAACCGGGGAGGGUCAUUGGAAACUGGGGAACUUGAGUGCAGGAGAGGAAAGUGGAAUUCCACGUGUAGCGGUGAAAUGCGUAGAUAUGUGGAGGAACACCAGCGGCGAAGGCGACUUUCUGGCCUGUAACUGACACUGAGGCGCGAAAGCGUGGGGAGCAAACAGGGAUUAGAUACCCUGGUAGUCCACGCCGUAAACGAUGAGUGCUAAGUGUUGGGGGGGUUUCCGCCCCCUCAGUGCUGCAGCUAACGCAUUAAGCACUCCGCCUGGGAGUACGGUCGCAAGACUG
rnacentral:rRNA from 1 species